UACGGAGGGGGCUAGCGUUGUUCGGAAUUACUGGGCGUAAAGCGCACGUAGGCGGCUUUGUAAGUUAGAGGUGAAAGCCCGGAGCUCAACUCCGGAAUUGCCUUUAAGACUGCAUCGCUCGAAUCAUGGAGAGGUGAGUGGAAUUCCGAGUGUAGAGGUGAAAUUCGUAGAUAUUGGGAAGAACACCGGUGGCGAAGGCGGCUAUCUGGACCGACAUUGACGCUGAGGCGCGAAAGCGUGGGGAGCAAACAGG
rnacentral:rRNA from 1 species